ensembl:lncRNA
GGCUGUGGUAAGACUGUGGGGGAGUAGGGGUGGAUACUAAGGGUGUUUGGUGGAGUGGAGGAUGGGGAAGGCUUGAUGCAGUAAGGGUAUAUUCUGAGUUCAGCUACAUUCUACAGUAGGUUACUCUCCCAUGGUACAGUAGGUUACUCUCCCAUAUGGCUAAGUUGAUUGUUCAUCUACAGUAGGUUACUCUCCCAUAUGGCUGAGUUGACUGUUCAGCUACUGUAGGUUAUUCCCCAAUAUGGCUGAGUUGACUGUUCAGCUACUGGAGGUUACUCUCCCAUGCUAGUGUAGGUUACUCUCCCAUCCUACUGUAGGUUACUCUCCUAUGCUACUGUAGGUUACUAUCCCAUGAUACAGUAGGUUACUCUACCAUGCAACUGUAGGUUACUCUUCCAUGCUACUGUAGGUUACUCGCCCAUGCUACUGUAGGUUACUCUCCCAUGAUACUGUAGGUUACUCUCCCAUGCUACUGUAGGUAACUCAUCCAUGCUACUGUAGGUUACUCUCCCAUGAUACUGUAGGUUACUCGCCCAUGCUACUGUAGGUUACUCUCCCAGGCUACUGUUGGUUACUCUCCCAUGUUACUGUAGGUUACUCUCCCAUGUUACUGUAGGUUACUCUCCCAUGCUAUUGUAGGUUACUCUCCCAUGCUACUGUAGUUUACUCACCCAUGCUACUGUAGGUUACUCAUCCAUGCUACCCAUGCUACUGUAGGUUACUCAUCCAUGCUACUGUAGGUUACUCAUCCAUGCUACUGUAGGUUACUCUCCCAUGUUACUGUAGGUUACUCUCCCAUUCUACUGUAGGUUACUCUUCCAUGCUACUGUAGGCUACUCUCCUAUUCUACUGUAGGUUACUCUUCCAUGCUACUGUAGGUUACUCGCCCAUGCUUCUGUAGGUUACUCUCCCAUGCAACUGUAGGUUACUAUCUCAUGCUACUGUAGGUUACUCGCCCAUGCUACUUACUGUAUAUUACUUUCCCAUUCUACUGUAGGUUACUCUCCCAUGCUACUGUAGGUUAGUCUCCCCUGCUACUGUAGGUUACUCUCCCAUGCUACUUACUGUAUAUUACUUUCCCAUUCUACUGUAGGUUACUCUCCCAUGCUACUGUAGGUUAGUCUCCCCUGCUACUGUAGGUUACUCUCCCAUGCUACUGUAGGUUACUCUCCCAUGCUACUGUAGGUUUCUCUCCCAUGCUACUUACUGUAUAUUACUUUCCCAUUCUACUGUAGGUUACUCUCCCAUGCUACUUACUGUAGGUUACUCUCCCAUGUUACUGUAGGUUACUCUGCCAUUAUACUGGAGGUUACUCUCCCAUGCUACUUACUGUAGGUUACUCUCCCAUGUUACUGUAGGUUACUCUCCCAUGCUACUGUAGGUUACUCUCCCAUGCUACUUACUGUAGGUUACUCUCCCAUGUUACUGUAGGUUACUCUCCCAUGCUACUGUAGGUUACUCUCCCAUGCUACUUACUGUAGGUUACUCUCCCAUGCUACUUACUGUAGGUUACUCUCCC